rnacentral:rRNA from 1 species
ACGAACGCUGGCGGCGUGGAUAAGACAUGCAAGUCGAACGAGAGAAUUGCUAGCUUGCUAAUAAUUCUCUAGUGGCGCACGGGUGAGUAACACGUGAGUAACCUGCCCCCGAGAGCGGGAUAGCCCUGGGAAACUGGGAUUAAUACCGCAUAGUAUCGAAAGAUUAAAGCAGCAAUGCGCUUGGGGAUGGGCUCGCGGCCUAUUAGUUAGUUGGUGAGGUAACGGCUCACCAAGGCGAUGACGGGUAGCCGGUCUGAGAGGAUGUCCGGCCACACUGGAACUGAGACACGGUCCAGACACCUACGGGUGGCAGCAGUCGAGAAUCAUUCACAAUGGGGGAAACCCUGAUGGUGCGACGCCGCGUGGGGGAAUGAAGGUCUUCGGAUUGUAAACCCCUGUCAUGUGGGAGCAAAUUAAAAAGAUAGUACCACAAGAGGAAGAGACGGCUAACUCUGUGCCAGCAGCCGCGGUAAUACAGAGGUCUCAAGCGUUGUUCGGAAUCACUGGGCGUAAAGCGUGCGUAGGCUGUUUCGUAAGUCGUGUGUGAAAGGCGCGGGCUCAACCCGCGGACGGCACAUGAUACUGCGAGACUAGAGUAAUGGAGGGGGAACCGGAAUUCUCGGUGUAGCAGUGAAAUGCGUAGAUAUCGAGAGGAACACUCGUGGCGAAGGCGGGUUCCUGGACAUUAACUGACGCUGAGGCACGAAGGCCAGGGGAGCGAAAGGGAUUAGAUACCCCUGUAGUCCUGGCAGUAAACGGUGCACGCUUGGUGUGCGGGGAAUCGACCCCCUGCGUGCCGGAGCUAACGCGUUAAGCGUGCCGCCUGGGGAGUACGGUCGCAAGAUUAAAACUCAAAGAAAUUGACGGGGACCCGCACAAGCGGUGGAGUAUGUGGCUUAAUUCGAUGCAACGCGAAGAACCUUACCUGGGCUUGACAUGUAAUGAACAACAUGUGAAAGCAUGCGACUCUUCCGAGGCGUUACACAGGUGCUGCAUGGCCGUCGUCAGCUCGUGUCGUGAGAUGUUUGGUUAAGUCCAGCAACGAGCGCAACCCCUGUUGCCAGUUACCAGCACGUGAAGGUGGGGACUCUGGCGAGACUGCCCAGAUCAACUGGGAGGAAGGUGGGGACGACGUCAGGUCAGUAUGGCCCUUAUGCCCAGGGCUGCACACGUACUACAAUGCCCAGUACAGAGGGGGCCGAAGCCGCGAGGCGGAGGAAAUCCUAAAAACUGGGCCCAGUUCGGACUGUAGGCUGCAACCCGCCUACACGAAGCCGGAAUCGCUAGUAAUGGCGCAUCAGCUACGGCGCCGUGAAUACGUUCCCGGGUCUUGUACACACCGCCCGUCACAUCAUGGAAGCCGGUCGCACCCGAAGUAUCUGAAGCCAACCGCAAGGAGGCAGGGUCCUAAGGUGAGACUGGUAACUGGGAUG